UUGACCGCAGUGUUUUUAGCUAGAAGUUGUUAGCUAGCUUGUCCGAUCGUUUUUCCUUCGUCCUUCUCAACCAGACCAACGGUGUAUUUUUCUUUUCUAACUCGUUUGGUGGAGAAAAGCAAGAGGAAGACAUCUUACAGUCAUGUCUACAAAGGCUAGUCUGCAUCAAUAGGGCUUUCUACAAAGAUUAGGAGUAAUGCUUCUUGGAGCUCUGAUGAUGAUUUUCAACAAGGGAGACCAGUAUUACAGAAUAUAAGUCAACUCUUAAAUCAGUCCACUGGCGUAAUAAGAAAAAGAAGUCGAUCUGAACGCUCUAAGAAAGCUGAAAGAGGGUCGUCUCUACCUCUACAAAAGCGGCAAUGUGGUGCAGGGGUAUUGAUAAACCCAGGCUUUGAAAACCGAAGACUCCGUCAUCCCUGUGAGUCACAGCAGCUAUUUGGGAGCAAUGAUAUACCCAUGCCAUAUGCGUUCGCAGAAUAAGGAAAACCACUAUUGGGGAGCCUCAGGUGCUUCUCCCGCUCAAACCUGCAUGCUCGACCGUUGCAUUGGAUGAGGCCGCUUCUACUGGGAUAGCCGUGGUCCCUGCGUAUACUAUAGAGACGCUAAACGCUGUUGCAGAUUUGCAGAGAGUGCAUCCUGGGUCAGAGGAGUUGUUCACCCCCUCAUUGGAUGCAUCAGAUUUCCCAGAGAGACAGCGUGAUGCGCAUCAACAAGUUUUACAAUGGGGGGAUGUGGCAGAGCUCCAGGACACAGCUGUGUCGGUGAUGCCCAGGGUCGUAAUUGCCGCAAUCCAGGAGCUACCUCAAAGCGGAGCUGAAGAGGCACCCUUUGAAGGAGAAAACAAAGAAUCAUCAGAGACAGACCGCACCUCGAUUUCACCUGAGCAGGAAGCCUGUCAGUGUCGGGGGAACGAGGGUGAUGUAGAAUGUGAUUGUGUGUUCUAUAUUCCAAACACCCCCAUCAGUCAGAGCCCCAAAGCUAAAGUAAUCCCACAGGCUCAUGCAACAUCAGACGUCUCUGUAAAUACAGAAGAUAUUGAUGAGGCAUUUCAAUGUGGUCAAGCAUUGGAUUGUUCUAGUAUCAACAGCAGUCUUGAAGCAGUUGAUCACAUAAACCGUCCUGAACAGAUAAGAGUAGUUGAGGAGGAGGCACUCUUCGAAUUCUGUGCCGAUACUUCACGCCGACACACAGUGUCAAAUGUUAUACAUCGCCAGCUAGAAUCCACAGUUGAUAAUUUACAAAAACACAUCGAUAGUCUGGUGAAUGCAGUGGGUGCAUUGCAUACCACCAAUACAAGUCUGUUUGAUCUAGUUACGUCCUUGGUUGCAGCGUUAGACAGUCGCAGCAGAGACCUCGAGACGACAGAGGCGCGGCAUCUACAGCGAGCAGUAGCUCUCACCAGACUACUAACACCGCUGAUAGCCAUA